rnacentral:rRNA from 1 species
UAAAGAUAAUUUAGAGAUUGUGUGAGUUUGAAGGUUUGGUUAUUUGUGGUACCUUUUGCAUCAUGAUUUAUUGAUGGUAAGUGCUGAUAGCAUAUACCCGAAAAAUGCCGAUUCCUAUCUUUACUGUUUGGUGCUUAGUCUAAGGCGGGUAGCCUAGAUAAGAUAAAGAUUAGGGCUGUGAAAAAUAAUUCGGGGUAUUUUAUAUCUGGUUUUGGGGGUUGAUUUAGGUUUAGUUUUCCGGCGAGGAUGUCGGGAAGCAGUUAAUAGCAGUGUUUAGUGUGGUAGUUUGCGUGGGUUAAAGUUACCCCUGCAUAGUGAUUGUGUUAAGACUCUUUAUGAAUGGUAAAAUGCUUUAUUUUGUCACCCCACCACAUGUUAAUUUAUUUGGAAGUAUGAUAAAAUAAGUAGGUUUUGAUUAAUUUCAUUUUUUCUCGAUUAUUCUCCGGUCUGUUUAUUAAAAACAUUUCCAUUUUUAGUUAUAAAUGGUAGUGCCUGCCCAGUGCUUAAAUGUAAAUGGCCGCAGUAUCUUGACUGUGCUAAGGUAGCAUAAUUAGUUGCCCCAUAAUUGGGGGAUUGUUUGAAAGGUUUGACCAGGGGAGAUGAAUUAAAUUGAAGUUAAGUCUGAAAUUGGUUUGUUGGUGCAGACUCCAACAGAAGUUUAUUAGACGGAAAGACCCCGAGAUCUUUAUAUUGAGGUAUUUACUUGGGGCAAGGUCAUAUAGUUUAUGUGGUUUUUGAUCCUAAGGGAUAGAAGGUUUAAGUUACCUCGGGGAUAACUAGGUAAAAAUUGAGGAGAGAUCUUAUCGAUUCAAUUAAUUGCCAUCUCGAUGUUGACUUGGGAAAUGUGAUGAGGUGCAGAAGUUUCAUUACGUGGUCUGUUCGACCCUUAAUUCCUUCAUGAGUUGAGUUAAGACCGGCGUGAGCCAGGUCGGUUCUUAUCUAUAAGUGGUGCGAAUUAGUACGAAAGGAUUGUUCGCAUUUUAUGUU